CAGCACUACCGAACAGGCCGAUUAUAGAAUUACAGCCUUUUAGGCCCAAGACAGGCACGGGUGAGAGAGAAUGAGGAGUGGAUAAGAAGAGAGCGUUCUGCUCUCUGUUCCUAGCCGGCCAUGGUCGAGCUCCUGGAGCUCAGCUCAGCGGCGCAGGAGCUAGUGGAUGAGAUAGGGACGUGGUGGAAUCGGUCGUCUGGAAGAUGGGGAGCUCGUCUGCGGUGGAAAUCGGUGUACGGGAGUAGCUGGUUGGUGGCAGCGGCCCCGCCGCCCCCUCGCGAUGCCAUUGCUGAGCUCAUCUCGGCACUCCACCGCCGCGCCCCGCGCGAUGCUAUCGGCCACGGCGCUGCUCUGAAGGCGAGGUAGGUGGCAGGGUAGUGAGUUGGGAUGGCAUUUUGGGGUGUGAUUUCGGUGGAUUUGAUGGGCAAUUUGGUAUUAGUGCUUGCAUGGAUGGGGUGGAGCUGCGGGGAGCCGGUAUUUUCAGCUCCGGCCGUCCAGUACAAAUUGGCAUGCGGCUUCGGAUGGGCUUUGCACGCGAAGCCGGUUUUGACUUGUGCGUUUGGUAGGGCUCCUAGAGAAGCUGGUGCCGGAGCCAUUCAUGAAGCCCUGCCAAAGGCACCCUCAGUAAGACAGCUUUAUAAUCUAACAUUUGAAUUCCACAUGGUGACAGACGAUUGGGCUCCUUUUGGUGGUGGGAUCUUCUGUUUAUUCUCAAUAAUUUUAGGAUGCUUGCUCCUUGCAAAGUGAAAAUGGCGCUACUGCAAGAUUCUGGCUUGAUCCGUGUAUUUUGGUGUUCUGAAAUGGUCUUUUAGACAACUGUUUUCUUUUGGGAAAAAAAAAGCUUUUGGCACAGCAAUUUCUAUUGCAAACCAAUGAUCAUCGGUUUUCUUGACCCCUAUCCAUUGAAGCUUCAGCUCAAAACUUACAAAUCUGUAGAGUAUUCUAGAAGCCUUCACUUUCUUUGAAGAUGACAAAGAUAUUUGGUCCUAUCUGUGGGGAAAUCAAAUCUUCUCCUCCAAACAAUCUUACAACAUGCUGGUGGGACCUUUCCAUGGUUGAUCCAGACUUUGCUUGGUUAUGAAAUCAUGUUGCCACAGAAAGCACUAGCUCUUCUUCUGGCUUCUCUUUGAAGUUAGAUUGAACAUGUUACUUGCUUCGGCUGAAAAAUGUCCUCUUGUAUGACUGCACUGUAUCUCCUGCACUUUAUCUCAAGAAGGGUCCAAAGUUCAUCUCUUCUUCCAAUGCUCUUUCAGCAGUACUGUUGGUGUUUUCCUGGUUUCAGUUGGGACCUGUCUAUAUCCCUUUUUGACAUAUUGGCUGAGGAUCGUUAACGCCUUGAAAAGCACUUCUUCAGAGAGGUUUUGAUCCUUACAUGCUGGUCAAUCUUUUUAAUGAAUGAUAUUACUUUCAACAAUGGGUCCUCGUCCCUUCCAAUAUUGGAAGAAGGGAUUGAAGAAUUAGUGUUGCUUAUGCACACUGGGCUAGAACAAUUGUAAAAGUCAAACACCGAUAUUGGCAAGAGUCACAUUUCUAAUGCUUAGUGUUAACAGAGGUCAACCAAUGUACAUGUAUUUUUUUCCUUAAUAGCAGAUAAACACAGCUGGGGGCUCCCCUCAUGUUUAUGUUAGAAAAAGAAUAAGCAGAGGGGUUUUCCAAUUCUUUAAUCUCUGUGGCAUGUUAGAAAGUAUAAGAAAAGAAACUGACAAUGGAAGCUGAUUAUCACGUCUCUAUUUUUAUAUUAUUUUGGUAAAUUGUCAUGAUUCCAUUAUGGUUGAUGAUUGCAAAAUAUGGAUUGAUGAGAUAGAAAAACUGACUGACUAUGGAAAAGAGGGAAGGAAUUAUAGAGCAAGGGUCCACAAAUUGGCAUGUCCAACAAGUCCAUGCCACGCCAACGCAGGUUCAUAGGUAAAAUAUCUACUCCUACAUUGUGAGAUUCAUACUAUCAGAAGAAGGUUGCAUGCUCACUCAUCGAGCCAGAACUGCCAGGCCAGAUCGAGUUCCAUUAGUCCUACAGAGCAACAGCCCUUGCAGGUAAUGGUAACUAGCAACUAGUCUGGUCGCUUUAUCAGGAAUGCUUUUUCUGGUGACCGUUGAGAGAUGUUUUCUUGCUAUAGGUUUCUCUUUUCUUUUUGUGAAUGAAUCUACAUGAUUACUUCUACCACCAGUGAGUUCAUGCUGCGAGUGUUAGGAGAAUAUUUCCUCUCAUUUAUCUUGAUUCCAUCAAUGUAUUAAAAUUUUAAAAUAAACUGAUUGCCAAUAGAUGUGUAUAUGGGCUUUACUUCUUUAUUGCUAUAAACUUUGGUCACUCUUUUAGGUUAUCCAUUAGCAGAAUGUCGAAUACACCUGUUUGAAAUUCAUUCCACAAGCCCCAUUUAUAUUCAACUAUUACUCUCUGCUUAUGAAUCAGUAAGGGUUUGUUGGCUACUACUCCUACCACCACACACACACACAAAAGGAAAUUAAAAAAAUCCUCCAGUCAAUCUAGUGACACUACCUCCCUCAGCCAAAGUUGGGUUUACAGCAAGAGGCUGCUGAUCCUUCUUUAAAUCUUAAGAAUAGCAUCAGCUAACCAGCUUAUACACUUUGACCUUUGUCUCGAGUUCUAAGAAUGUUGCAUUCUCUUUUCUUCGUGGUUCGUCUAUUCAAAUAGCCUUUAUGUGUUUCCCUAUCAUGCUCUGUAUAGACAUCAUUUGGAGUUUUAGGUUCUGCAGAGCCUUCAGUCUCCAAUGAACAGUUCAUGAAAGUACAAAAUUGAUAACUUAUUCUUGGCAAAGUCGUUGACAAGCACAUCUGGAGGCUAUCUCCUUCAGGUGAAUACACAGCAAGAUCGGCCUAUGAUGCUUUAUUCCAGGGAGCAAUUCUCUUUAAUCCAUAUGAACGCAUUUGGAAAUCUUGGGCCCCUCCCAAGUGUCGUUUCUUCAUGUGGUUAGUAGCUCAUAGGCGCUGCUGGACUGUGGACCGGCUGGCCAAACGUGGUCUCCCCCACCCAGAACAUUGCCCCCUUUGUGAUCAAAAAGAGGAGGAUAUCCAGCAUCUCCUGGUUGGUCGUGUGUUUGCUAGGCAGUUCUGGUUCCAGUUCCUGCAACACGUUGGUCUAGCUGCCCUGGCCCCUCAACCUACUGAUAUCUCUUUUGAGGACUGGUGGGAGAAGGUUGAGCUGUUGGUUAAUGGGGAUAUGAGGUAGGUCUUAACUCCCUUAUCAUCCUGGGGGGUUGGACCAUUUGGAGGCACCACAAUGAUUGUGUAUUCAAUGGCGCUUCUCCUAGUAUCGCUACAACACUGAUUUUGGCAAGGGAUGAAGCCCAGUUGUGGAGCAUGGCAGGAACUAAGGGCCUCUCUCUGCUCACUGCCAGGGGAGUGGGUUAAUCCCAGGUUUUUUUUUUGGUCAGGUCCUUCCUUUGCCUUUCAGGCAAUCAGGAUUUUUGGUCUGUGAGAGUGUAGGGGUGUGUGUGGGGUGUGUUGGUGUGUGUGUGUCUGUUUUGUGGGUGUUUGUGUGAGUCUAUGUAUGACUCUUCUUCUACUAUUAAUACAAUGAUACGAAGUUCUCCUGCAUGUUCGAGAAAAAUACAGUCCUAUCAAAAAAAUCUGGCGUCACUCAGAGUGCUGUGCCAAAAAUUAAAGUGCCACUACCAUUAGGGAAUAUAAUAACAUAAUACAAUCCAAUCUCUACAGAACUGGCAAACUUGUUACAAAUUGCAGAUGGUUUAUGAGCUUGUAGCCAAUUUCUUCACCAUAUUCUUGCCAUUCUCUGUAGGACAAGGAACAGCAAUUUGGGGAUACUCAGCCUGUCAUUUGCUUUGCCAUCAAAAUAGCCUAUGUAAUUUUGAUGCCGUUGCUACUAUAUGUUCCUUGCACACUAGAAUUCGAUCUCUUUACGUAAGCUUGAUAGUGACCUUAAAUGCAAGAGCCACAUCGUGAUCUCAACAAUUUACCUUCAUAUUGUUUCCCAAAAUUGCAGAAUAAAAAUUAAUUCAUAUAUUCAUUUGAACGGUUACUUUGAUGCUUUAUUGCAUUGCAGGUAUAAGAUUUUAAUGGAUCUCCCUCUGGACUCUUGAGCAAUGAAUUUCGACGUACUGGUUAAUCUUUUCGUUUGCUGUUUCACCACAUAUCUGGGAUUUCAUGCCACGUUUCUUACAAAUUUAUUUGUGUAUAUGGAUUCUGAUUUGGACAAGGUAACCUCAAGUUCAUUUAGGACCAGUACUUUGUAUGCCAGGAGCAGACAUGACACGAUGGUCUGCAAAUUCAGAAUCGUCAAGCAUUUUGAUUUGCUUGUUCUAAUAAAUAAAGAGCUUUCGUUUAGUAUGCAGAGCUGCUUCUGUAACCAUGCAUUCAUGAUUUUGACUUGUAAAGAAUUCUGCUCCGGGCGGAAUUUAUACUGUAAUGAAAAUUACUUGAGACUUCCAGAAAUGUUGGGAGGUUCACAUUCUCCUAUAGUUCUUUGCUCAAAACAACCAGAUGUGCUCAUGCAA